GUCCACGCCCUAAACGAUGUGUACUCGCUAUCGGUACGUUUACGUAUCGGUGGCCAAGCUAACGCGAUAAGUACACCGCCUGGGGAUUACGAUCGCAAGAUUAAAACUCAAAGGAAUUGACGGGGACCCGCACAAGCGGUGGAGCAUGUUGUUUAAUUCGAUGAUACGCGAGGAACCUUACCAGCCCUUGACAUAUACAUUAUACUUUCUGGAAACAGAUCGUUUCGGUUCGGCCGGGUGUAUACAGGUGUUGCAUGGCCGUCGU
rnacentral:rRNA from 1 species